UACGUAGGGUGCGAGCGUUGUCCGGAAUUAUUGGGCGUAAAGGGCUCGUAGGCGGUUUGUCGCGUCGGGAGUGAAAACACCGGGCUUAACUCGGUGCUUGCUUUCGAUACGGGCGGACUAGAGGCAUGCAGGGGAGAACGGAAUUCCUGGUGUAGCGGUGAAAUGCGCAGAUAUCAGGAAGAACACCGGUGGCGAAGGCGGGUCUCUGGGCCGUAACUGACGCUGAGGAGCGAAAGCAUGGGGAGCGAACAGG
rnacentral:rRNA from 1 species